rnacentral:rRNA from 1 species
UACGAAGGGGGCUAGCGUUGCUCGGAAUCACUGGGCGUAAAGCGCACGUAGGCGGCUUACUAAGUCAGGGGUGAAAUCCUGGAGCUCAACUCCAGAACUGCCUUUGAUACUGAGGAUCUUGAGUUCGGGAGAGGUGAGUGGAACUGCGAGUGUAGAGGUGAAAUUCGUAGAUAUUCGCAAGAACACCAGUGGCGAAGGCGGCUCACUGGCCCGAUACUGACGCUGAGGCGCGAAAGCGUGGGGAGCAAACAGG